UCUUCUUUCCCCCUAACCCCUUAAUUAUUCUGAUUUGCUUUGUUGUUCUACUUGAAGGCAGUAGCUAUAUUGAGGAAUUGUUUUAUAUCAUGAUGUUCUAAAGUUUCGAUCUUGGGAAACAAUUAGCUCACUGGAACGAGCUCUUGGUAGGGGAGUUACUUGACAUGUUUUUACUUGAUAUUUGGGCAGUAGCUAUGGCAACUGAUUAUUCGUUGAUCCUAUCGCUAUGAUUUGUCCUACGUGAGCAUGCUGCCUAUGAUUCUAAGUUUUGGAAAUUUCGUGGCGUUCUAACGUGAUGCCGAGAAUGGUAUCGAGGGGAUUACCUUAACGUUGUUGAAUCCUCCUCGGUGGUGGCUGUCCUUGCCGUCACCACUCGCUGCUCCUUCCUCUCCUCUUCGCCGCCUCGCGCUUGGUGUUGUGUAGAAUUGGUGGUGAUGAAAUGUGGUGGUGGGGGGAGGUGAGGAGAGGCUGCUUAAAUGGUGCUAAUCUAUUGAAAGCUAGGUUUGGGACAUGGAGCCAAAGGCUCCUAUUUUGAGCUUGUUAGCUCUCUUACUUUCGAGCUUGAUGAUUGUGAGAUUCUUGCCGUUUUGGUGAUGGUGGCUGAUCUUCUUGGCUGAUUUCUCGGCCUUGAUCGAUAGGGAGAUGAGAGUUGGUCUCAUCUUCUACUUUUGGGCUUGUGUAGGAGCUCGCUCUCCAAUGCCCCUUUGUCUCGACUCCCUUUUGAUGUUAGAAGAGAUGGUACAUGGAGGCAUUCUUGGAGCUUGUGGAGGCCGAAAAUCGAGAAUGAUGGGAAUGAGGGAAACACUUCGAUUUAGUUGCUCUAUUUGGCUAGUAUCCGAAUAUUGUAGUUUGGCAUCUUUGAAAUGCUAAGUUGUAGCUUCCACUUUUGUAUUUUCCACAUGUAACUAUUAUGUAGCAAAAUCUCACACCUCUCAAUAAGAUUGUAUAGCCCUUUUCCA